UCUUCAAACCAGCUCUCGAAAUUUGGACAUUCGACGACCUUAAUCAAACUCGCUAUUUGUAUCCUCUGUCUCGUGAUCACUUUUUUUUUUUCAUUUUGUGCUCUGAUUCCUUCACGGUCCUUAGGGUUUAGGGUUUAGGGCAGAGAGGGUAAAGUUGAAGUCUUUGGCUUUGGUUGUACGACGCUCAUGUCGAACCCUAAGCUUACUCGAAUUCCGACCUUGCGAGAGCGCGCCGACGACACGCUCUCCGCUCUCCGCAACAAGCUCAUCGCGCUUCUCUCCAGGUACGUGAAUCAGGGGAAAAGGGGUUCUGCAACCGCAUAACCUGAUCCACGAGCUAGAAUUUGUGAUCGGAGAUGAUGAAACGAAGUCUGCAAUGGAAGCCAUAAUUGUGCCGCCAUAGCUGUUAGGCCAAGACCUGGCAUUUGGGAAUACGGACUUGGAGCAAUUACCGGUUUCUGAACUUGCAGAUGGAGAGAUUGAUGAUCCUUUCCAGUUUGAGAUUGAGUUUGAACCCUUCGAUGCUAAUGUUCCUCGCUCUACAUGUUCUUCGUCUAUUGGUAAUGGUGUUCAGUUUCUCAAUCGUCACUUGUCUUCCAUCAUGUUCCGUAACGAAGACAGUUUGGAGCCUCUUUUGGAUUUCCUUUGAGCUCUCAAAGUUCAUGUCAAUUCUCAGGCAGUUUUUGGAAUGCUUCUUUUCAUAUAUAUAUAUAUAUAUAUAUAUGAGAUCGGUACGAGGGUAAGAUAAUAAACAACAGACGAGAGAAAGUUAGGGAAGGAACUCAAGUUACAAUUUCGUAUUAGGAUCUAAUUAAGCUUGAUACUUGUGAUGAACCUUUUUUCAGCCGUUAAUGUUGAAUGACCAAAUCCAAUGCAUAUCCCGGCUUCAGUCUUUGCUCAGAAAGAUGGAAGAUUAUGUCUCUCAGCUUCCACCAGAAACUCUUUUUUUCAGAGUUCGAAUACUCGUAAGCUAAAUUUUGCAUCUUCUGUGUUAGUUUUUCUUGGUAAAAUAUCGGUAGAAACGGGGUUGUUGCCUGUUUUUUUUUCCUGAAAACGGGCUGCUAGGAAUGGGCUUCGAAAUUGGGUGGGGCCGCGCGGAGACACAGCAGCUCGUGUGCUGGAGAUUAGGUAUCUUCUGUCUGAUGUUCUUCAAGCUCCUGAUCCUUCAUCGCAAGAGAAAUUUUUGUGGAUGUUUUUUAAUGUUGUGACUUUGUCAUCCCAUGGAUAUUUGGGGCAAGCCAAUGUUUUGGGAUUCCCUGACACUCGUGCGCAGGUAAAAAGGUCGAUGCAAAAGGGACUACUUACAACCAAAGGCUGAAAAGAGACAGCAGAACAGAACACGCUCACAUUCUUCGAGUUGCUUUUAGUUCAGAUAAGGGAUUCUUUCCUAAGUGGAUUUCAAGAUUUGAUGUCUGGCCCUAAACUAAACCCUGGCCAGACCGAUGAGCAUGUAGGUAUAUUGCACGACCGGUGGAAGCCACUACUCUUCUGUAUGGCAAGGUUAAACAAUGUGAAGAACAUUUCAUGUACGGAAAGAAUUCUCGACUUUGGGAGCUGGUGAAUCUGGUUGUGAUUGCUGGUUACAUAGAUGUCAACAGGUCCAAAAGCAGGUAUGAAAUUGCAGAGAUUGAGAAAUGCAAUCUUGAUGGUCAGUCCCGUUUGGAUCACUGCUCAACCAAGCCGACACAGGAGGUGCUUUUGUUCAGGUGGGAACGGUUCCCUUCUCGAGCGAUGAAUGACAAAGCCAAUGCUUGCAAAGUGUUGGGAACAUAGUAAAUGGGGUCAUGGCUCUUUGCCGGAGGAUAAUGACUGAUCCUUUGUGUUUUCACGUGAUACUGUCCACGGAAAUGUUGCCGUUGAUGCCUCUCUCUCUCUCUCUCUCUCUCUCUCUCUCUCUCCUUCUCUCUGACCAAAGACAUGGAGAGUUACGUGACUUUGUGUGUAACUGGCAAUGAGUUCUGAUGGAAUGUCAAAUUGUGUAAAAUCAUGCGACUAUACCCAGCCGUUUCAUGAUGCAAACCAACUAAACACGAAAAAGAAUCUGGCAUUAUUUA